CACUAUGGCAUCCACGCAAUAAAGGACUUCGGCUUGAAGGAGAGCCAGAGGUGUGUCGUCUUCUUCGUCGACUCCAUCAGGAACUACAUGACGCGGUUCCUCAAUGAUGAGUGGAUGGGGGAGAGGGGUUACCUGGAGGAUGAAGAGGAAGAACCCAGCAAGUAGACAGAUCGAGGUUAAGAUCGGCGUUUAUCGUCAAUAUUGUGGCGUCCAUUGCAAGAGAUACAAGUGUGUCGUCAAUUGACGUCACUAAAGGUCGUGACGACGUCACAAAAGCCCGGUUGAAGUCGACACAAUGUAUAUAAUGUAUAGCUGACAUCAUCUCCCAUAUAAGUACAUGCUCAUCUUGUUCAAAGUUUCAACAGCAUGCACACUAAACUGACAUUGAUAGCUACACGUUCCACUAAUCGCAGCACCGCCCAGCAGCAAUGCCCUGACACACAGCAUGCUGCACAAACUGACAUUGGCAGCUACACGUUCCACUAAUCGCAGCACCGCCCAGCAACAAUGCCCUGACACACAGCAUGCUGCAGAAACUGACAUCGGUAGCAACACGUUCCUCUAAUCACAGCACCGCCCAGCAGCAAUGCCCUGACACACAGCAUGCUGCAGAAACUGACAUUGGUAGCUACACGUUUCACUAAUCGCAGCUCCGCCCAGCAGCAAUGCCCUGACACACAGCAUGCUGCACAAACUGACAUUGGUAGCUACACGUUCCUCUAAUCGCAGCACCGCCCAGCAGCAAUGCCCUGACACACAGCAUGCUGCAGAAACUGACAUUGGUAGCUACACGUUCCACUAAUCGCAGCUCCGCCCAGCAGCAAUGCCCUGACACACAGCAUGCUGCAGAAACUGUCAUCGGUAGCUACACGUUCCACUAAUCGCAGCACCGCCCAGCAACAAUGCCCUGACACACAGCAUGCUGCAGAAACUGACAUUGGUAGCUACACGUUCCACUAAUCGCAGCACCGCCCAGCAACAAUGCCCU